UACGUAGGGGGCAAGCGUUGUCCGGAUUUACUGGGCGUAAAGAGCGCGCAGGCGGUCGAUCAAGUCGAGUGUGAAAGCCCCCGGCUCAACUGGGGAGGGUCAUUCGAUACUGAUCGACUCGAAGGCAGGAGAGGGUAGUGGAAUUCCCGGUGUAGUGGCGAAAUGCGUAGAUAUCGGGAGGAACACCAGUGGCGAAGGCGACUACCUGGCCUGUUCUUGACGCUGAGGCGCGAAAGCUAGGGGAGCAAACGGG
rnacentral:rRNA from 1 species